CCCCCCCUCAAAUUUGUGCAGCAUAUCUUUCGCUCAAGAUUCUUUUAGAGGAUCUCUCCAAACUACAUCAGAAGACCUUGGCAUUGGUCUCUCAGCAGACAAAAAGGAUACCAACAAAAUCCAAAAAUCUGGUCAAACACAGGGUAAGGAGGAAAUGCUGGUCCAAGGAGAAUACUGAAAUCUGGUAGCUCAAUCACUUAAUCCUGCCAUUCCACACCAUGAGUGUCCUCUCUGGAUGCAUAAGAAGCGCACAGGAUUUGUUUUUUUUUUUUAUAGUAGAAACAUCAUUAUAGAUCUGUCGGAUUGCUACUGUAGAUUCCUUAUUUUACGUGAAUGAAUAAUUCCUUGAUACAAAUGUUUUGUAUCGAAUUGCUAGAUUAUUAAACCACAACCAUCAAAGUAAAAUGUAAACGAGAUUAUAAAAUCCAGGAGUGUUUAAUAAGGAAUCUGCAGUAUACUUGUAAGGAGAAGUAAUACAGUAAAACUCAUUUAGUACGAAAACGGAUAUAGCGAAUUCUCGGGUAUAGCAAAGUUUUUUUUAGUCCUUGGUUAAAUUCUUAUCAAAUCUUUGCAAAAUUUUACGGUUAUAACAAAUUUGGAUACAACAAAUAUACGGAUAAAGCGAACUGAUUUUGAGUCCUGUAGAGGUGAAUAAUAACGAAAUUUAACACUUUUAUAACGAAUUUCUUUUCAAGUUAAAAAGUUUUUACUACCAUUUAGCAUAGUAGUUUGAAUAAAUUGAUUUUCAUAUUAAUUUUUCAAUGCGCAAUCCGAUUAUUAAAGGUAUCAAAGUAAUGUAUUUUUAUUUAAGCCUCAAUUAGCAAAAAUUAUAGUCUGGUGAAAGAAAACAUGUAUAUAGUGAAUUCGCUAUAGUUAUUAUAUGAUUACAAAUUUGUUUUACGGAUAUAAUGUAAUCCGAGAUUCCUCUGACUUUCACCUCAAUUUUGACGUGCAUCACAAUAUUAAAGCGGGCUUUAGAGUCCGAGGAUCUCGGAAUAUUUUGGAAUUACGGAUAUAACGAAGUAAAUCCAUUGAUCCCUAGGAUUUCGCUAUAACCGAGUUUUACAGUACAAACUUUUUAAACAACAUUCCCUGGAAUUGUGUUCAAGAAGGCUAUUCUGAUAGGAAGGGAUAUGCAGGAGGGGGAUAGGAAUUCAAACAUAUCUGUUGACAUAUUCCUCAUGCAUAUAUUUUGAAUUUUAUUUAACUUAUUGUAAAGAAUGUGGUAGUAUGAUAUAAUGAGAGAAAUUAAAUUAUAAAGAUGUUUAUAUAAGAACUACUUUUGUCUUAUAAAUAGUGUACUUGAGCCAGCUAUUUUAAUGUAAAACAAUUUUUCUCUUAUAGUAAUUUUAAAAUUUUAUAUGUUGUUAAUGUCAAUUAUGUACAAAACUGUUGUUGUUUUUUUUUAUUUUAUUUUUUUUAUUUACUUUUUCUGAUAUGAUAUUUGCCAUAAUAUUUGAUAUUUAAAGAGAUUAAAUUUAAACAAAAUGUUAUUGUUUAUUCAUUUAUAUAUUUUUAUCGACUGGUGCCUUGCAUGUUUUAGAACAAAGAAUUUUUCUUUUAUAAACUUCUUGUACAUCCCCUGAAGAAAAAAACCAAGUUUGAUUACUGGGUAGAUAAAUGCAUAUUUUUAUAAUUAUGUAGAAAUUAAGCUGUGUCUUUGGAUAAAAGGGAAAGAUUACCGGUAAAUGUUUUGAACAUUAGUUCUUUCAGUGCCAUACAAAUGGUGCUUUUCUGUAUUACUGUAUGUAUAAUAAUAACUGUUUUUCAGUUAGCAAUAGUUUGAUUUAAGCAGUUCUGAUGUAGUAUGACAUGAUUUUUUAAAGAUCUGCUUGUUAGAUAUUAUUCAGCACAUUGAACACAAUAUGUAUUUCAGAUUUUUAUUAACAAAGAUUUUACAGAAGUCCAUGUCAUAUUCAACAUACUGAGGAAUCAUUAAAAAUCUUUCUGACUCUAUAUAUUUUUCAUACCCAUCAACUAUGAAUUAAAAUUCCCAACAAAUUGUAUUCAUGUGCGUUCAAACAAAUAUACCAAAAUGCAUCCCCAUUAAUCAUUAAAUACAGAACUUAAGAAUGCACAUGAAAAUUAGCCAACAGGAAUAUUAAGGAUUCCACUGUACUUUUGAAUUCUGAUGGUGACCUCACUGAUUCUUGGGGAAUUACUACUAGUAACUUAUUCUCUAGGAUUGACUGCUUUGUGAAAGGAAGGUGUGUGAUAUUGACAAUUUUCCUUAUAAAUCAUUACAUUUUAUUGAAUUUGAAACCUCUUAUCAACUACAAAUAGAAUAAGUGGAAUAAAAGUAAAUUGGGAGGUUCAGCAAACACACUUUUAAGACAUUAACUCUUGAAGCAAAAUGAUUUUCAUUCCCCAUGACUUUAUUACAUGUUGUAAACUUGACAGAUAUAAUGAAUUACGUUCAUAAUGAAGCAAAAAUGACACUUAUAGUGAAGCAAAAAUGACACACACCCCCACCCACCCACCCCCGUAGCACUUUUUUAUAAGCGUAUUUUACUGUAUUUAGCAGGUAUAUGUACAUGUAUCUCAGCGUCUCGAACCGUGGUCCAAAGUCUGCAUUUAUAAACCUCCCAUUUUCUCAAUAUGGGAGAGGAUUGUACAUGUUUGCUGGGAAUUGUGACAAUGCAGAAACUCUUGAAAUCCACAAAUAUUGGUCCCUCGUGAAAUACUAGUACAUGUAUAUGCUAAUUCCAUAUGAGUACUAAAAACUUACUGUGAAUUUACUUAUUAUUGGUGUUUUUUUAAUAUAUUGAUUUUUUGGUACUUCAGUAUUGGAAUGAGUCGCAAAGGAUAUGAUAUCUUGUGAUAUAAAGUAUUUGUGUUAAGAUUUCAAUGAUAAUAUCUUGUAUCAUGUGCCUGUAGUGUUAUGGAAUUAAGAUUUUAUUGUUGAAUACUUGUAUUAGUGGUUGACUGUUGAGUACCAAGUCUUUCAUUCUCAUUCAUUUUUUCAUUGUAAAAAUGACAUAUAUUAAAUCUUU